rnacentral:rRNA from 1 species
CCAGCAGCUGCGGUAAUUCCAGCUCCAAUAGCGUAUAUUAAAAUUGUUGCAGUUAAAAAGCUCGUAGUUGGAUUUCUGGUUCGACUCACUUGGCCCGUCUCGGUUUACGGGAUCGCGUGCCGGCGUGAGUCAUCCAUCCUUCGAUGAGAACAGUGCUGCCCUUUACUGGGUUUGCACUGCUUCUCUCGAUCUUUUACUUUGAAAAAAUUAGAGUGUUUAAAGCAGGCUUGCGCUAUGAAUACAUUAGCAUGGAAUAAUAAUUUAGGACUUUGGUCUUAUUUUGUUGGUUUCUAGGACUAAAGUAAUGAUUGAUAGGGACAGUUGGGGGUGCUAGUAUUCAGCGGCCAGAG